rnacentral:lncRNA from 1 species
AAUUGAUGAGGAUUGUCCACAGAACAUUGAAAGAAGAUGUUGUAGUUUUACUUGGAAAUCUAUUUCGAGUGUUUGGGCUGAUCUUCGGAGUAGCCUUUUUUGGCGUGUAGGAGAUGGUAGGAGAGUAAGGUUUUGGAUUGAUCAUUGGAUGAAAGAGUUGGGACCUUUAUCCAACUAUUGCACUAAUGCAAGACCUAUUUUUAAGAUUCCAC